ACACCUCUUUAUUUUGCUACCAAGCUUGUCAUCCAGAUGCUCGUACAGUCCCUGGAAAAAAUAAAAUAUCACCAGUGGAAUAAUUAAUAUCUCGUGUUAAUGCAGAAUUAGUCAACUAUCAACUGCAGCAAGAAAACAGCUUCUAAUCAACCGGAGAAUUAAUUGCGAUAUAUUGUAUCCUUCUAGGUGAGGAGCUCUUGCAUCUUCGAGUUUAGAUGCACGAUCCUUCUGUAUUGCACUCAAUGUGUGAUUUAAUUUCAACAUAGGAUUGCUAUUAAACACAUACACACACACAUAAUUAAUUUUUCUCAUUAAUUUAAUUAUUGAAGAACUUUUCGAAUACUUUGGCCUCGUUACACGUGAAUGAUACAAAAUAAAAAAAACAUACGUGUAA